rnacentral:rRNA from 1 species
UUUAAUUGAAGAGUUUGAUCAUGGCUCAGAUUGAACGCUGGCGGCAGGCUUAACACAUGCAAGUCGAGCGGUAGCACAGGGGAGCUUGCUCCCUGGGUGACGAGCGGCGGACGGGUGAGUAAUGUCUGGGAAACUGCCUGAUGGAGGGGGAUAACUACUGGAAACGGUAGCUAAUACCGCAUAACGUCGCAAGACCAAAGAGGGGGACCUUCGGGCCUCUUGCCAUCAGAUGUGCCCAGAUGGGAUUAGCUAGUAGGUGGGGUAAUGGCUCACCUAGGCGACGAUCCCUAGCUGGUCUGAGAGGAUGACCAGCCACACUGGAACUGAGACACGGUCCAGACUCCUACGGGAGGCAGCAGUGGGGAAUAUUGCACAAUGGGCGCAAGCCUGAUGCAGCCAUGCCGCGUGUGUGAAGAAGGCCUUCGGGUUGUAAAGCACUUUCAGCGAGGAGGAAGGUGGUGAGCUUAAUACGCUCAUCAAUUGACGUUACUCGCAGAAGAAGCACCGGCUAACUCCGUGCCAGCAGCCGCGGUAAUACGGAGGGUGCAAGCGUUAAUCGGAAUUACUGGGCGUAAAGCGCACGCAGGCGGUUUGUUAAGUCAGAUGUGAAAUCCCCGGGCUCAACCUGGGAACUGCAUUUGAAACUGGCAAGCUAGAGUCUCGUAGAGGGGGGUAGAAUUCCAGGUGUAGCGGUGAAAUGCGUAGAGAUCUGGAGGAAUACCGGUGGCGAAGGCGGCCCCCUGGACGAAGACUGACGCUCAGGUGCGAAAGCGUGGGGAGCAAACAGGAUUAGAUACCCUGGUAGUCCACGCUGUAAACGAUGUCGAUUUGGAGGUUGUGCCCUUGAGGCGUGGCUUCCGGAGCUAACGCGUUAAAUCGACCGCCUGGGGAGUACGGCCGCAAGGUUAAAACUCAAAUGAAUUGACGGGGGCCCGCACAAGCGGUGGAGCAUGUGGUUUAAUUCGAUGCAACGCGAAGAACCUUACCUACUCUUGACAUCCAGAGAACUUUCCAGAGAUGGAUUGGUGCCUUCGGGAACUCUGAGACAGGUGCUGCAUGGCUGUCGUCAGCUCGUGUUGUGAAAUGUUGGGUUAAGUCCCGCAACGAGCGCAACCCUUAUCCUUUGUUGCCAGCGGUUCGGCCGGGAACUCAAAGGAGACUGCCAGUGAUAAACUGGAGGAAGGUGGGGAUGACGUCAAGUCAUCAUGGCCCUUACGAGUAGGGCUACACACGUGCUACAAUGGCAUAUACAAAGAGAAGCGACCUCGCGAGAGCAAGCGGACCUCAUAAAGUAUGUCGUAGUCCGGAUUGGAGUCUGCAACUCGACUCCAUGAAGUCGGAAUCGCUAGUAAUCGUAGAUCAGAAUGCUACGGUGAAUACGUUCCCGGGCCUUGUACACACCGCCCGUCACACCAUGGGAGUGGGUUGCAAAAGAAGUAGGUAGCUUAACCUUCGGGAGGGCGCUUACCACUUUGUGAUUCAUGACUGGGGUGAAGUCGUAACAAGGUAACCGUAGGGGAACCUGCGGUUGGAUCACCUCCUUACC